AUUCUGAGAUGCUACUACUAGACUUGAGGACCACUGUGUUGAAUGAUGGAACCAGAAUUCAAGAAGACCUUAACAGGCUUGAGCAAUGUGCCAAAAAAGACAAGAUACAUUUAGAAUCUUUCUAAGUUCGAUCCCCAUUUUUCACCCUGCUCCAUGGCUGGAGGCUGAUCUUUAUGGAUUUCAUCAAUGGUGUCCCUCACCCUCUGGUAUCCAGUAGGCCAAGGAAGAGUCCCCUCAGGAGAGUGGAGGAAGAGAAAAGAGAGCACUCUGGGUAAUGAUGAUUGAAUGAGUUAUCACCUAUAAAGAGCAUCCCUAGAACAAAAUAAGUAUGUUUUAAAUAAAUACAAAUAAAAAUUCCAAUCCUCACUGUA
rnacentral:lncRNA from 10 species